UUAGGAUUUGCAUCAUCUGAGCCACCUGCCUCUGUAUGUAUGCUUAUUUACUACUUCAGAGGAAGAAAAAAACCAUGAACAUGUGAAGAGGAAUUCUGAAGAAAGAUGAAUGACAAAGACUUGUGAUUACUUCCAGAAUGUUGUAUCAGAAGUGACAAAAGUUUAGCAGUCUAUCAGUUCACUUCUCUGAGGAUAAAAUGGCAGGAUUAAUGAAGAGCUUAAUGAUCUCCUGCUGUGAUGAAGAGUCCAGGAAGUAGCUGCUCUAGAAGGAGAUGUUCUGGUACCAGCUGAGGAGC